CACAUGCAGUCGAGCGGAAGGCCCUUCGGGGUACUCGAGCGGCGAACGGGUGAGUAACACGUGAGUAACCUGCCCUAGGCUUUGGGAUAACCCUCGGAAACGGGGGCUAAUACCGGAUAUGACUGCUGGUCGCAUGACUGGUGGUGGAAAGUUUUUCGGCCUGGGAUGGACUCGCGGCCUAUCAGCUUGUUGGUGGGGUAAUGGCCUACCAAGGCGACGACGGGUAGCCGGCCUGAGAGGGCGACCGGCCACACUGGGACUGAGACACGGCCCAGACUCCUACGGGAGGCAGCAGUGGGGAAUAUUGCACAAUGGGCGGAAGCCUGAUGCAGCGACGCCGCGUGAGGGAUGACGGCCUUCGGGUUGUAAACCUCUUUCAGCAGGGACGAAGCGAGAGUGACGGUACCUGCAGAAGAAGCACCGGCCAACUACGUGCCAGCAGCCGCGGUAAGACGUAGGGUGCGAGCGUUGUCCGGAUUUAUUGGGCGUAAAGAGCUCGUAGGCGGCUUGUCGCGUCGACUGUGAAAACCCGCGGCUCAACCGCGGGCUUGCAGCCGAUACGGGCAGGCUAGAGUUCGGUAGGGGAGACUGGAAUUCCUGGUGUAGCGGUGAAAUGCGCAGAUAUCAGGAGGAACACCGGUGGCGAANGCGGGUCUCUGGGCCGAUACUGACGCUGAGGAGCGAAAGCGUGGGGAGCGACAGAUA
rnacentral:rRNA from 1 species